UGCAUGUCUAAGUACAAGCCUUACUAAGGUGAAACCGCGAAUGGCUCAUUAAAUCACACCUAAUGUACUGGAUAGUUUCAGUUACUUGGAUAACUGCGGUAAUUCUGGAGCUAAUACAUGCGCACAAGUCCCCGAUUUUGAGGGGUGCUUUUAUUAGAUCAAAACCAAACGGCCUCGGCUGUUUACUUGGUGAUUCUGAAUAACUUUGGGCUGAUCGUAUGGCUUUAUGCCGACGACGUAUCCUUCCAAGGUGUGCCCUAUCAACUGUCGACUGUGGCAUAGACGCCCACAGUGGUUUUGACGGGUAACGGGGAAUUAGGGUUCGAUUCCGGAGAGGGAGCCUGAGAAAUGGCUACCACUUCUACGGAAGGCAGCAGGCACGCAAAUUACCCAAUGGUCGCAGACCGAGGUAGUGACGAAAAAUAACGGUAUCGGUCUCUUUUGAGGCACGAUAAUCGGAAUGAGUACACUUUAAAUCCUUUAAUGAGGAACAAUUGGAGGGCAAGUCUGGUGCCAGCAGCCGCGGUAAUUCCAGCUCCAAUAGCGUAUAUUAAAGUUGUUGCGGUUAAAAAGCUCGUAGUUGGAUUUCGGCAGACAGGGGGCGGUUCGUUGUUUGACGGCACUGCUCCAUUUGUUUGUGUUUUUGACGGAGGUUUGAGGGUUCUCUUUACUGGGUGUCCUCAGGUGCCGUCAGGUUUACUUUGAAAAAAUUAGAGUGCUCAAAGCAGGCUUAAACGCUUGA
rnacentral:rRNA from 1 species